GGCCGGAUAGGUCGGAGAGCCCAAAGCGGACCUGCGAAACAGGCGUGAGGGGAAGUGAAGCGCGACAAGGAGAUGAGCGAGAGAGAGAGAGAGAGAGAGAGGAGGGAAGGUGACGGUGGACGUGAGGUGGGGGCCUCAGCUUGAUCAAGCAACAUACAAGAAUCGCCAGCGUCUGUACCUCUCUGAGCAGUUCAAUGAAGAAACUCAUUCUCCAUUUGUUAAGGAGUACAAAACAAUUAUACAUCCAGGGGAGGUCAACAGAAUUAGGGAGCUUCCUCAGUACAGCAAAAUAGUUGCAACACAUGCCGACAGUCCUUAUGUAGUGAAAAUAUAUUGUUGCGGUACCAUUUUGAGUUUAGUUCACUUUCAUUGGGCUUUCUCUUAUUUCUCAAAAUUCUUAUGAUGGUUCUUAUCUGGGAUGUUGAGCUGCAACCUAAUCAUCAUCCUAUGUUAGGAGCUACUGAAUCUCGUCCAGAUUUGACAUUUUACCAUAGUUUUGCAUACUAUAGGGAAGGACAAUGUUGCAGAUGCGCAGAAGGUACUUCCUGUGUGAUUUUUUUCAUAUGACUUCAUACUGUAUGAUUCUUGAACAUUAUUCACCUUAUUUGUCCAAAUUUGAGGUUUCUAAAUAUUUGUUUCACUUUUCUGGGUUAUGUUGCUUUUUCUUCCUCCUAUAUUUGCCAUGCUUGAUUAGACAUUUUUCUGUUUUAUGACGAACUUAGAAGAAGUUGUUUGUCUGUCUCAAUAUUAUUUUGUUUUUAUACUGACAACACCUUUUAACUACAUUGAAGUGAACGGGAACUUUGUAGUGUAGGCGGUUGGCAGCAGUCCAGUAUUAUUUAGUAGAGCCUUGUUCACCACUGGGUAAGUCCAAUGAUGAUUUUACCUGCGGUACAGUUCAUAUCAGAUCGAGCUAAACUUGUUUUGCCAGAAUGCAAUUCUAGGAUGGUUUUACCUGUUAAGUAUCAUUUAGUAGAGCCUUGUUCACUGCCAGGUAAGUUUCAUUAUGAUGAUUUUCCCUAUGGUACAGUUCAUAUCGGAUCGAACUGGAUGAAAUCACAUGGUCAACAUGUCGAUGAUUUUCGGAAUGGUAUACACUGGCCUGCACCGACCUGUAUGGGCAAUGUUUAAAACCUUGCAGCAUUCCGAAUGCAUGGGACUUAAAUGUUCCAUUGGUGCUGAUUGAACAUUUUAGUUUUCUAAGGGUAAUAAACAAUUAUACUUCAUUUGUCCUAAAGUUUGGUAUCAUUUGAUUGUGGCAAUGCAUUGCCCCUUUAGUGAUGCACACAAGCAUGAGAUGAUGGUAAGCACUCGAAGCCUUCUUCACUUGUUUACACGCUGCUUUUAUCCCUAUUAUAACUUUUGUGGUUGUUCAUUGUAGGGUCAUCACCUCAUGACCCCGACCCUAGACUGUGCUUGGGACACUUCAAUCGCAAUGUUGGCUCUCCCGAAGGGCAAGCCAAUGCCUCCAUGAGGCUCUCAAAGCUACAACAGCAAUUGGAGGUAGAGAAACAUGCGACAUAUGAUGCUCAGGCCGAUCAAUGUUGUUACCAUGACAUGGCAUUGAUGUCCUAGUUUGAAGUCGAUGAUCUCCACCAUGUGGUGAAGGACCACUGUGGACAACUUGAAGAUGAAGAGGCUCAUCGUCUCGACUACAAGACCCAAGGGGGCAUAUUUCGAAGGACACAUGAAAUAUUAGUAAUGUCUUGGAGUAUUGAAAUGUAUUAGCUGAAACAUGGAGCCCAUUAAAAAUUAUCCAUUUAAUAAAAAUAUAAAAUCUAAAUUGCAACA